ACCGAAUAAUAACUCCGAGCUGACAGGCCUAAGGGUGUUCAACCUAUGGUCUCCAGCCAUGACUAUGUAUAGUUAAGGGUAUCCCAGGAAACUGCGAUGCCUCCCGGUGGAAAGGAGAAAAACAAAUUUUAGU
rfam:Thermincola sp. JR, complete genome.